GGGCCCGCACAAGCGGUGGAGUAUGUGGUUUAAUUCGAUGCAACGCGAAGAACCUUACCAGGGUUUGACAUCCUGCGAAUCUCUUGGAAACAGGAGAGUGCCUUCGGGAACGCAGUGACAGGUGGUGCAUGGCUGUCGUCAGCUCGUGUCGUGAGAUGUUGGGUUAAGUCCCGCAACGAGCGCAACCCACGUCUUUAGUUGCCAGCAUUCAGUUGGGCACUCUAGAGAGACUGCCGGUGAUAAACCGGAGGAAGGUGUGGAUGACGUCAAGUCAUCAUGGCCCCUUAUGAGUAGGGCUACACACGUGCUACAAUGGUCGGUACAAAGGGCAGCGAAGCCGCGAGGUGGAGCGAA
rnacentral:rRNA from 1 species